GUUGUAUAGUCAAGUAAUUAAGUGCAUGUGGUGGAUGCCUUGGCAGUCAGAGGCGAAGAAAGACGUAAUAGCCUGCGAUAAGCUUCGGGGAGGCGGCAAAUAUCCUGUGAUCCGGAGAUUUCUGAAUGGGGAAACCCACUUACCAUAAGGUAGGUA
rnacentral:rRNA from 1 species